UACGGGGGGGGUAAGCGUUGUUCGGAAUUACUGGGCGUAAAGGGCUCGUAGGCGGCCAACUAAGUCGGACGUGAAAUCCCUCAGCUUAACUGGGGAACUGCGUCCGAUACUGGAUGGCUUGAGUUCGGGAGAGGGAUGCGGAAUUCCAGGUGUAGCGGUGAAAUGCGUAGAUAUCUGGAGGAACACCGGUGGCGAAGGCGGCAUCCUGGACCGACACUGACGCUGAGGAGCGAAAGCCAGGGGAGCAAACGGG
rnacentral:rRNA from 1 species